GGGCCGGUAGUUUAGCCUGGCAAAAUUCCCGGUUUGCACCCGGGAGAUCGCGGGUUCAAAUCCCGCCCGGUCCACCA
rnacentral:tRNA from 1 species